AUCCAGACCAUACAUCAAGUAAUAGCUAGUUCACUGGCAAGGCUUUUAAUUCCAUUUCUGGAUAUGAUCAUUCUACGACCUCAAUCUUCUUUGACCUUUUGCGCAGAACUAUUGGAGGACAUUGCAUAUCACCCACUUUUGCAGGAACUAUUACUAUCUUUUCUAAGACCACUCCUUGUUUUUUUAGAAGUGACAAGAAAUGAGCUUCAUUUUCUGUUUCAGUAAAUUGUUUCAUCUUCACUUCCUUGAGACUAGGCAUGCUGAGAUCAAUUGGUUUAUUUAAGAGUUCCUCUGACAAACUCUCAUCUUUGUCAAUCUUGAAAAGAUAAUCAAGGAUCAUUGUCUCAAUAUUGGGAGCAAGCUUGAGCAAUGCAGCCAUCCCAAGAAGAUCAUAUUGCGUGUAUCCCGUUUGUAACUCUAAAUGUUUGAGAUUGUAUAACAGAAAGCCUUCGGAAAAAAAUUCAUUUGGCACCAACUUAAACCACCAAUUUUGUACCGCAAGACUCCUGAGAUGAGGUACUUGAUCAAGCGUCCUCACAAUCUUAUUCCAGUACCCAUAGUAUUCGUCCCUUUUAUGCCCAAUAGAAGUAUGAAAAUGAACCAAAGAAGACAAAUUCUUAAUACAGCAAUUCCCAACCUCGAACCAAACUAUACUUAACGAAAUAAGAUUAGGACAAUCAAUCUCCAAAUUCACUUCAAUUUCGUUACGAAUAAAGUACUUAAGCUCCAGCUCCUUCAAUUUCCCAGAACAAACCUUCAAAGUAUCCAUGCCAUAACAGUUCGCAAGCUCCAAAAUCUCGAGAUUGGGACACCCACUAAUCAAAUCCAAAGCCAUCUGAUCAGUCAAAUAAAUUUGAUCAAGACAAAUGGAUUUCAUCGACCAAAGACGCAUGCUUGACAUGUUAGUUGGCAAUGUCAAAUCACAUCGAGUCAGCUUCAAGGCUCGAACCUUCCCAUUUCUCAUAGUGGAGAAGGGAAAAUCGUAAGUAUCCCACGAAUGGGGUUCCUCGACAUGGAAACUUUUAUCGAUGAAGAAAUCAAGAACGAGCUCUUGAGCUCCGUUCUUGAUCGCAUAACGAAUCCAGGAAUCGACAUGGAAACCGUAGCGAUCUUCAUAGAUGAAUUCGAGGCGGAAUUUGAUGAGAGGCGAAUGGGAGCGGCAAACGAGGGUGCGGUCGAUGAAUUCGGCGAAGAAUUGGCGGGGGGUGGAGGGGG
rnacentral:misc_RNA from 1 species